UCGGGAUUUUGCCUCUUCUUCUUCAUCGUCCCCUCCGUUAUCGAUUCCGGUGUUCACCACCUAACCGAGUUUCUCAGGAAGAGGAGGGGAGAGUCUCUCAAUCAAGCUCCGGCAAACUUCAAAAUAGAAAUGACGAAAAUGGGGCUCAUAUCGCUGCUUCCGACGAUUUCGGAGAUACCUAUAUUGC